rnacentral:pre_miRNA from 1 species
CAACUACUCCCUCUGUCCCAAAUUUCUUGUCUUAGAUUUGUCUAGAUACAGAUGUAUCUAAUACUAAAAUGUGACUUGAUACAUCCGUAUCUAGAAAAAUCUAGGACAAGAAUUUUGGGACGGAGGGAGUACUUU